GAGUAAACAAACAGCCUCUCGAUUGGAAGAGGGUCGAUUGGAAGCAGCCUCUCUGCCCUUUCGGGCAGGGGUAAGGCUCGUCUACAUAUUAAUAGUAGAAAAGAAAUUUCAGCUAUAUGUACUAAAGCUAUAGUACCUCUCUGCCCCUUCAGGCAGGGGGAAGGCUCGUCUACAUAUUACCCUCCCCAGACCCCACCUGGUGGGAGUAUACUGGGUAGUUGUUGUUGUUGUUGUUGUUGUACUAAAGAGUAAACAAACACAAAUCAUUUGCCUAAUGCUCAACCACAUUGGCAAUAAGACUGUCAAAAAGCUACUUGAGGUCCUGAUUUACCUGAUGCCACAUGAAUAAACAAAAAUGAAGAUAACGUGAACUAUGAAUGACCUAAAGGUAUACAUCACAAAUAAGAUCCCCAUAACUGAAACCACAAGCACCUGACAGCCGCAGGAACAUAUGCUUGCUAUCAUCCAACCCAAUAAUACGAAAUCAUUCAAUCCAGUAAAUCUUGAUAUG
rnacentral:lncRNA from 1 species